UUCCCAGUGUAGCGGUGAAAUGCGUAGAUAUUGGGAAGAACAUCGGUGGCGAAGGCGUGCUACUGGACCGUAACUGACACUCAGGGACGAAAGCUAGGGGAGCGAAAGGGAUUAGAUACCCCUGUAGUCCUAGCUGUAAACGAUGGAAACUAGGUGUGGCUUGUAUCGACCCGAGCCGUGCCGUAGCUAACGCGUUAAGUUUCCCGCCUGGGGAGUACGCACGCAAGUGUGAAACUCAAAGGAAUUGACGGGGGCCCGCACAAGCGGUGGAGUAUGUGGUUUAAUUCGAUGCAACGCGAAGAACCUUACCAGGGCUUGACAUGUCGCGAAUCUCGGUGAAAGCUGAGAGUGCCUUCGGGAGCGCGAACACAGGUGGUGCAUGGCUGUCGUCAGCUCGUGUCGUGAGAUGUUGGGUUAAGUCCCGCAACGAGCGCAACCCUUAUUUUUAGUUGCCAGCAUUAAGAUGGGCACUUUAGAAAGACUGCCGGUGACAAACCGGAGGAAGGUGAGGACGACGUCAAGUCAGCAUGCCCCUUACGCCCUGGGCUACACACGUACUACAAUGGUUGGGACAAAGGGCAGCGACUCCGCAAGGAAUAGCGAAUCUCAUCAAACCCAGCCUCAGUUCAGAUUGCAGGCUGCAACUCGCCUGCAUGAAGGAGGAAUCGCUAGUAAUCGCAGGUCAGCAUACUGCGGUGAAUUCGUUCCCGGGCCUUGUACACACCGCCCGUCACACCAUGGAAGCUGGUCACGCCCGAAGUAGUUACCCUAACCUUUCGAGGAGGGGGGUUCCUAAGGCAGGGCUAGUGACUGGGGUGAAGUCGUAACAAGGUAGCC
rnacentral:rRNA from 1 species